AUUGAACGCUGGCGGCAUGCUUUACACAUGCAAGUCGAACGGUAACAGGGAGCUUGCUCCGCUGACGAGUGGCGAACGGGUGAGUAAUGCGUCGGAACGCGCCGAGUAGCGGGGGAUAACGCAUCGAAAGGUGUGCUAAUACCGCAUACGAACUGAGGUUGAAAGUGGGGGACCGUCGGUCCUCACGCUAUUCGAUUGCCGUAUGUCAGGUUAGCUAGUUGGUGGGGUAAAGGCCUACGAAGGCAACGAUCUGUAGCUGGUCUGAGAGGAUGAUCAGCCACACUGGGACUGAGACACGGCCCAGACUCCGACGGGAGGCAGCAGUGGGGAAUUUUGGACAAUGGGGGCAACCCUGAUCCAGCCAUUCCGCGUGAGUGAAGAAGGCCUUCGGGUUGUAAAGCGCUUUCGGCAGGAACGAAACGGCGAGCUCUAACAUAGCUUGCUAAUGACGGUACCUGAAGAAUAAGCACCGGCUAACUACGUGCCAGCAGCCGCGGUAACAC
rnacentral:rRNA from 1 species